UACGAAGGGUGCUAGCGUUGUUCGGAAUUACUGGGCGUAAAGCGCACGUAGGCGGAUCGAUCAGUCAGGGGUGAAAUCCCAGGGCUCAACCCUGGAACUGCCUUUGAUACUGUCGAUCUGGAGUAUGGAAGAGGUGAGUGGAAUUCCGAGUGUAGAGGUGAAAUUCGUAGAUAUCGAGAGGAACACCGGUGGCGAAGGCGGCCAACUGGACGAAGACUGACGCUGAGACACGAAAGCGUGGGGAGCAAACAGG
rnacentral:rRNA from 1 species